GCAACCGGCUCAGAGCCAGCUUCAGCUUAGCCAUGCCAGCGUAAAUCCACAGUUAACUCCGUUGGUUUCAAUGGGAUUUACUCCAACGUAACUGGCAGCAAAACUUGGCCCAGUUGGUGCAUAUGCCAGCACUAAAGCUCUCGCUGUCUCUCCUUGACUUUCAGUUUCUCUAAUGGAUUCUCUCUCCUUCUCUGCAACUAAUGACCCUGGGGACCUCGAUUUUACACCACUGCACAAGAGCAAUUCCCACUGAAAGCUCUGGGGAAGAGAUGGCAUUGGCGGGGAUUCAAAUGGCACACCUGGUACCAUCUGCUGCAAUUUCAUGUUGCCUUUAGUUCUGUGACUCCUCUUUAGUUGGAAGAGGAUUAGGUGUCAGGGACAGGAGGCCCAGUAACACUACAGACUCUGGCACUGUUUCGAGGCGAUGCCUAAGUGCACUGUAGAUGUGCCAACAUGCUAACCUUGGCUGUUAUCUGUAGAGGCAAGGUUUCAACAGCUCCGCUCUGCGGUUGACUCUGAAGUUGGAAAAGUUCAUCAGCUGUUGACUUUGGGAGAAGUCUUGCCACCUGCUGGAAGGACACUGACCCCCUCUGGGAGGUCAACUUCUGUGCUGACUUAUCCCUGUGCGAUCCUGAUGGAGUCUAAUUCAGCACAGCUCUCCUUCACUCCCUUGUGCUGCUGCCGUCUCCCUGGCUCUUAAUGAGGCAUUACUUUACCGGACAGUUCUUCAGUGCAUUGGAUAGAACUGUAGUGUCAGGAGCAGCACAGCGAAUAGCAGGAUCCUCUGUUGGGUGGCAAAUGUUCCCAACUCCCAAGUCUGUGGCAAUAGCUGGAGCCCUCAGCUUUCACACUGUCAUAGUUGAGUCACUCGUGAGUGAAUGAACUUUGCUCCAGACUCAGGAUCAAAGGUUUUUCCUUUGUCCUCUCCGCAGAUGCAUUGAGAUAGAGCAGAUGUCCAUGGGCCAAAUUCUGGAUGGGAAAACGUUCCCAGUCAGCUCUCCUUCAGUCCCCUGUGCUGCUGCCAUCUGACUGGCACGGGGCCUGAAGCCAGCCUCCAUCCCAGUGUUGGAUGGUCUGCAACUGUGACCGAGCCUCCUUCAGACCUCCAUCCAAAUGCUGCCCAGUCGCUGACUGAAGGCACAGAAGCCAUCCCUCUUCCCGAAGGCAUCCGCCAAGCACUGCAUGUGCUGCCUAAACACAGCAAGGAUUUUGUUGUUGGGUUUGGUUUUUUUCUUUUUCCUUCUCGCUGCCUAGAAAGCCAAAGGGCCUGUUUGCUUUCCUGUUACUCAUCAGGAGGGUUUAUCUGCGAUUGCUUGAGAGAGGGGAAAACGCCAUCGCCACAGGCAGGCAGGCUCAGUGAUCACGCGCGUAAUGGCUGGGGCCCGCGGGCCCAUAUGCUAGCCAUCCCAAGAGG